CACGUAGGGCGCAAGCGUUGUCCGGAAUUAUUGGGCGUAAAGAGCUCGUAGGCGGUCUGUUGCGUCCGCUGUGAAAACUCGGGGCUUAACCCCGAGCCUGCAGUGGAUACGGGCAGACUAGAGGUAGGUAGGGGAGAAUGGAAUUCCCGGUGUAGCGGUGAAAUGCGCAGAUAUCGGGAGGAACACCAAUGGCGAAGGCAGAUCUCUGGGCCGUAACUGACGCUGAGGAGCGAAAGCGUGGGGAGCGAACAGG
rnacentral:rRNA from 1 species